CUCACACCCACUACUUACGCGCCAGGCGCCUCUUUGGACGCCACUCCACAGCCUCGUGUGUUAAGAGGCACACAAGAGCUGCCUGAUUGGCUCCCAAGCUGAGAACCGGGAGCCGGAGGAAAUCAUAGCGAAAUCUCAACCUGAUGUAGCCCCAUCAGCAUCACACACACACUCAGAGCAAAAUGGCCUGCUCUUCAAUGUAGCUUAGUUUAGUUCAAUUGUCCUGCCCACCCCCUCCUGACCCUCCUGCCGCUGAGGGGUGGUAUUUGAAAGAACAGCUGCUUGCACAUGUAACAGCUUCCAGGAUAACCAAUGAGCUGGAACCAGUAAGAUGUGGCUGGGGAAGGGGGCUUCUCAUCUGUCAGCUGGGGAGCCUCGUGGGGCCUUACAUGGACUCAACUUCUUACCAGUCCCAGAAGAGCACCCCAACGGCCCUGGGAUUUUCAACUCUGAAGCAUAAGACAAGUUAAUGAAGCAUCCAAUUCACACCAGCUUUUAUCUGUCAGAGAAACACCAGCAAGCAAGGUAGAGACACCAAGCCAAACCCUGAUGUGCAAGUAUGAACUUCAUGUUAAUUAGGAAGCGGAAGAAUGUGUGGGUUUCUCUAAUGCAGACUCAUCAUACGAAGUCAGCUGAUUCAAAUGCUCUCAACCUGAGCUUCGGGUCAUUUGUGUUAGCUGUAAGGCCAUCUGAGGCAGAUGCAUUGAACCUGACCUUGAGAGUAUCCUUGACCACUUGACCAAGAGGCCAGAGACUCUACAAGUGUGCUCAGGCCAGAUGGCUAACUCAACUAGUGCCUGGCAGGAAGACUCAAGAUGCCAGCUUCUCCCCUAAACCAUGUGAACAUUCAACCAUUUUAAACUACAAAAACAACAAUUUCAACCAAAACACUGGACCAUUGACUAUUUUACUGGAAGUUUCUCUCUUAGAGUAUGAUGAAAAGAGGAUUGGGUGUAAGAGACCUGGCUGCAAGGCUCACCUCCACUAAGUAGCCAUAGACAUUUUGGCCACUAAUGUGCUGUGAGUCACCUUAUUCCUCUGGUCCACAGCUUCUUCAUCUGGGAAAGGAAGACAUUGGAUUGUAAAGUAAGAAUAGCCCACAUUUUUUAGCGUUUGC
rnacentral:lncRNA from 1 species